rnacentral:rRNA from 1 species
UACGUAGGUCCCAAGCGUUAUCCGGAUUUAUUGGGCGUAAAGGGAACGCAGGCGGUCUUUUAAGUCUGAUGUGAAAGCCUUCGGCUUAACCGGAGUAGUGCAUUGGAAACUGGGAGACUUGAGUGCAGAAGAGGAGAGUGGAACUCCAUGUGUAGCGGUGAAAUGCGUAGAUAUAUGGAAGAACACCAGUGGCGAAAGCGGCUCUCUGGUCUGUAACUGACGCUGAGGUUCGAAAGCGUGGGUAGCAAACAGG